rnacentral:rRNA from 1 species
CCUACGGGUGGCAGCAGUCGAGAAUCAUUCACAAUGGGGGAAACCCUGAUGGUGCGACGCCGCGUGAAGGAAGAAGGCUUUCGGGUUGUAAACUUCUUUUAUGAGGGACGAAAGAAAUGACGGUACCUCAUGAAUAAGCCACGGCUAACUACGUGCCAGCAGCCGCGGUAAUACGUAGGUGGCAAGCGUUAUCCGGAUUUAUUGGGUUAAAAGGGUGCGUAGGCGGAAUGCCAAGUUAGCGGUAAAAUCGCGGGGCUCAACCUCGCUCCGCCGUUGAAACUGGCGUUCUUGAGUGGGCGAGAAGUAUGCGGAAUGCGUGGUGUAGCGGUGAAAUGCAUAGAUAUCACGCAGAACUCCGAUUGCGAAGGCAGCAUACCGGCGCCCAACUGACGCUGAAGCACGAAAGCGUGGGUAUCGAACAGGAUUAGAUACCCUGGUAGUC